UCUCUCUCUCUCUCUCUCUUUUACAAACAAAUUUUGUGGCGGAUGACUUUUGUUUUGUAGUGUGUUGUCUUGUUCGUCACACACACACACACACACACUCUCCUUUUUCAGUCCAUGGCUAAAACUCGUACUGUCAAUCGUCGAACCCUAGAUUCUUACACUCUUAAAUCCAUCAACAAAACCAUUCGAGCUGGUGAUUGUGUGUUGAUGCGACCAUCGGAGUCGUCAAAGCCAUCGUACGUUGCUCGAAUCGAGAAGAUAGAGUCGGACAGUAGAGGCAGCAACGUUAGGGUUCAUGUCCGAUGGUAUUACCGGCCAGAAGAGUCGAUUGGUGGACGGAGACAGUUUCAUGGCGUUAAGGAACUGUUUAUGUCUGAUCAUUAUGAUAUACAAAGUGCUGAUACUAUUGAAGCAAAGUGUAUUGUCCAUUCGUUUAAGAACUAUACCAAACUUGAUGCUGUUGGGAAUGAAGAUUUCUUUUGUCGAUUUGACUAUAAUUCUGCUACUGGAGCGUUUAAUCCUGACCGAGUUGCUGUGUACUGUAAAUGUGAAAUGCCAUACAAUCCUGAUGACCUCAUGGUUCAGUGCGAGAGCUGCAGUGACUGGUUCCACCCUUCUUGUAUAGACAUGACGCAAGAGGAAGCCAAGAGACUUGACCACUUCUUUUGCCAAAAUUGUUCAUCUGAAGAUCAGAAGAAAUUGCAAACUGCUCAUGCUACUUCAAGACAUUCUGAUAUAAAGGUGAUCCCAUUGCUAUAUUAACACAAACAUCCUGGUUACCUUUCUGACCCAUCUUUCCAUGAUCCGAUUUGAUGUAGGGUCCAAACGCCGACGGAGGUGAUACGUCUGCCUAUGCUGGAGGAACUGUAACAUUUCUCUUACUUUGCUUAAUGGGAUGCAAGCAAACACUGAGGCAAUUACUGUAUUAGAAGCGACAAUCAUGUGGGCUGGUGUAAAGGGAAACUGACUGAAACUUUGUAUUGCGUACUGGUUUGAUAGGCAUGCACCUUGUUUCCUUUAAGUAGGUCGAGGAAGUGUAUGGUAGUGUGUAAUUAUCUACUGCAGGUUUUCUCUACUGUUCUUCCACGCUAUUUCUUAUCAGGGUGCUGUUUAUAAUAAAUACUAGUUUAGUGUUAUUUACUGUAAAGAGUUGCUGGCAUUUUCUAGAGGCAAUAGCCCUUUUGCCAACUUCUCCCUUAUGGAAACUACUCUUGGGUGUCUGGUAUAUGUGAGAGAUCUAUAUCUCUUUUCGA